rnacentral:rRNA from 1 species
GAUUAACGUUGGUAGUAUGCCUAACACAUGCAAGUCGAGCGGAAAGUAGUAGCAAUAUUGCUUUUAGCGGCACACGGGUGAGUAAUGCUUAUCUAACUUGCCAAUUAGUGGGGGAUAACCAGAGGAAAGUUUGGCUAAUACCGCAUUUGUUGCUUUGGCAAUGAAAGGAGGUCGCAAGACUUUCGCUAAUUGAUAGGGAGUAAGUCGCAUCAGUUAGUUGGUGGGGUAAGUGGCCGACCAAGACUAUGACGCGUAGCUAGGCUGAGAGGCUGAUUGGCCACAAGGAACUGAGACACGGUCCUACUCCCAAGGGA